GUUUGAUCCUGGCUCAGAUUGAACGCUGGCGGCAUGCCUAACACAUGCAAGUCGAACGGCAGCAUGAGUAGGGGUAACCUUACUUGAUGGCGAGUGGCGGACGGGUGAGUAAUAUGUAGGAAUCUACCUAGAGGAGGGGGAUAACUUGGGGAAACCCAAGCUAAUACCACAUAAGCCCUACGGGGGAAAGCAGGGGAUCGUAAGACCUUGCGCCUUAUGAUGAGCCUACAUCGGAUUAGCUAGUUGGUGGGGUAAAGGCCUACCAAGGCGACGAUCCGUAGCUGGUCUGAGAGGAUGAUCAGCCACACUGGGACUGAGACACGGCCCAGACUCCUACGGGAGGCAGCAGUGGGGAAUAUUGGACAAUGGGGGAAACCCUGAUCCAGCAAUGCCGCGUGUGUGAAGAAGGCCUUAGGGUUGUAAAGCACUUUCAGUGGGGAGGAAGGGUACGAUGUUAAUACCAUCGUGCAUUGACGUUACCCACAGAAGAAGCACCGGCUAACUCUGUGCCAGCAGCCGCGGUAAUACAGAGGGUGCGAGCGUUAAUCGGAAUUACUGGGCGUAAAGCGUGUGUAGGUGGUUAGAUAAGUUAGAUGUGAAAUCCCCGGGCUUAACCUGGGCACUGCGUUUAAGACUGUUUAACUAGAGUACUGUAGAGGAUAGUGGAAUUUCCAGUGUAGCGGUGAAAUGCGUAGAUAUUGGAAGGAACACCAGUGGCGAAGGUGACUAUCUGGACAGAUACUGACACUGAGACACGAAAGCGUGGGGAGCAAACAGGAUCAGAUACCCUGGUAGUCCAUGCUGUAAACUAUGAGAACUUGCUGUUGGAUGCAUAAAGGCAUUUAGUAGCGAAGCUAACGCGUUAAGUUCUCCGCCUGGGGAGUACGGCCGCAAGGCUAAAACUCAAAGGAAUUGACGGGGGCCCGCACAAGCGGUGGAAGCAUGGUGGUUUAAUUCGAUGCACGCGAAGACCUUACCUACUCUUGAAUCCACGGAUCCUGCAGAGAUGCUGGAGUGCCUUCGGGACGUGAGACAGUGCUGCAUGCUGUCGUCAGCUCGUGUCGUGAGAUGGUGGUAGUCCCGUACGAGCGCCAACCCUGUCUAGUACUACGAGUAGUCAGGACUCUAAGGAGACCGCCGGUGAUUAACCGAGGAAGGAGGUGGGGGC
rnacentral:rRNA from 1 species